ACGAAGCUGCCCGGAUGGAGGAUUUGAACCGAUCAGAGGUUCGACGCCUGAGCAACGCGAAGGCGAACAGCGCAAGCUGGCCCCGAAGGGGUGAGGCCCACAGGGCCGAAUAAUCCUCCAUCCCCAGCCA
rnacentral:sRNA from 3 species